AACGAACGCUGGCGGCAUGCCUAACACAUGCAAGUCGAACGCCUGUAGCAAUACAGGAGUGGCAGACGGGUGCAUAACACGUGGGAACCUACCCUUGGGUUCGGAAUAACCGCGGGAAACUGCGGCUAAUACCGGAUACGUCCUGUGGGAGAAAGAUUCAUCGCCCUUGGAGGGGCCCGCGUCGGAUUAGCUAGUUGGUGAGGUAACGGCUCACCAAGGCGACGAUCCGUAGCUGAUCUGAGAGGAUGAUCAGCCACACUGGAACUGAGACACGGUCCAGACUCCUACGGGAGGCAGCAGUGGGGAAUAUUGGACAAUGGCGCAAGCCUGAUCCAGCAAUGCCGCGUGGGUGAUGAAGGCCUUCGGGUUGGUAAAGCCCUUUGGUCAGGGACGAUGAUGACGGU
rnacentral:rRNA from 1 species